rnacentral:rRNA from 1 species
AGGGAAACCGAGUCUUAACUGGGCGUUAAGUUGCAGGGUAUAGACCCGAAACCCGGUGAUCUAGCCAUGGGCAGGUUGAAGGUUGGGUAACACUAACUGGAGGACCGAACCGACUAAUGUUGAAAAAUUAGCGGAUGACUUGUGGCUGGGGGUGAAAGGCCAAUCAAACCGGGAGAUAGCUGGUUCUCCCCGAAAGCUAUUUAGGUAGCGCCUCGUGAACUCAUCUUCGGGGGUAGAGCACUGUUUCGGCUAGGGGGUCAUCCCGACUUACCAACCCGAUGCAAACUGCGAAUACCGAAGAAUGUUAUCACGGGAGACACACGGCGGGUGCUAACGUCCGUCGUGAAGAGGGAAACAACCCAGACCGCCAGCUAAGGUCCCAAAGUCACAGUUAAGUGGGAAACGAUGUGGGAAGGCUCAGACAGCCAGGAUGUUGGCUUAGAAGCAGCCAUCAUUUAAAGAAAGCGUAAUAGCUCACUGGUCGAGUCGGCCUGCGCGGAAGAUGUAACGGGGCUAAACUGUGCACCGAAGCUGCGGCAGCGACGCUUAUGCGUUGUUGGGUAGGGGAGCGUUCUGUAAGCCUGCGAAGGUGUCCUGUGAGGGAUGCUGGAGGUAUCAGAAGUGCGAAUGCUGACAUAAGUAACGAUAAUGCGGGUGAAAAGCCCGCUCGCCGGAAGACCAAGGGUUCCUGUCCAACGUUAAUCGGGGCAGGGUGAGUCGACCCCUAAGGCGAGGCCGAAAGGCGU